UUCAGGAUGAACGCUAGCGGCAGGCUUAACACAUGCAAGUCGAGGGGCAGCGCGGGGCAGCAAUGUUCUGGCGGCGACCGGCGGAAGGGUGCGUAACGCGUGAGCGACAUGCCCGUUGCCCGGGGACAACCGGUGGAAACGCCGACUAAUCCCCGAUGGGACGGAGGCCCUCAUGGGUCUCCGUUGAAAGUUACGGCGGCGACGGAUUGGCUCGCGUCCGAUUAGCUUGUUGGCGGGGUAACGGCCCACCAAGGCUACGAUCGGUAGGGGUUCUGAGAGGAAGGUCCCCCACAAUGGAACUGAGACACGGUCCAUACUCCUACGGGAGGCAGCAGUGAGGAAUAUUGGUCAAUGGGCGGAAGCCUGAACCAGCCAUGCCGCGUGCGGGAAGGAGGCCCUAUGGGCUGUGAACCGCUUUUGCCUGGGGGCAAUAAGGGCGUCGUGCACGUCCGAUGAGAGUACCAGGCGAAUAAGCAUCGGCUAACUCCGUGCCAGCAGCCGCGGUAAUACGGGGGAUGCGAGCGUUAUCCGGAUUCAUUGGGUUUAAAGGGUGCGUAGGCUGUGCGUCAAGUCAGGGGUGAAAUUCCGGGGCUCAACUCCGGGGCUGCCCUUGAUACUGUCGCGCUGGAGUGCGGAUGCCGCCGGAGGAAUGAGUGGUGUAGCGGUGAAAUGCUUAGAUAUCACUCAGAACACCGAUUGCGAAGGCAUCUGGCGAAUCCGUAACUGACGCUGAGGCACGAAAGCGUGGGGAUAGAACAGGAUUAGAUACCCUGGUAUUCCACGCCGUAAACGAUGAUGGCUAACCGCCGGCGACACACUGUCGGUGGCCAAGCGAAAGCGAUAAGCCAUCCACCUGGGGAGUACGUCGGCAACGAUGCAACUCAAAGGAAUUGACGG
rnacentral:rRNA from 1 species